UACGGGGGGGGCGAGCGUUGUUCGGAAUUACUGGGCGUAAAGGGUUUGUAGGUGGCCUGCUAAGUCAGACGUGAAAUCCCUCAGCUUAACCGGGGAACUGCAUCUGAUACUGGAUGGCUUGAGAUUGGGAGAGGGAUGCGGAAUUCCAGGUGUAGCGGUGAAAUGCGUAGAUAUCUGGAGGAACACCGGUGGCGAAGGCGGCAUCCUGGACCAACACUGACGCUGAGGAGCGAAAGCCAGGGGAGCAAACGGG
rnacentral:rRNA from 1 species